ensembl:ncRNA F47C8.2 ncRNA
GAGAAGAGUUCAUGAUCUAAGGAAUCGACAGACAGUGCGUGUAAAUGUGAUCAGAAGGAGUGACGGGGAAGACGACGAUCGGGUGAGGAAUGAAGCCGGACUGGGAAAGAUCAUAUAUACUCGGCUGACUUA